AGCCUUUAGUCGCUCAUCCAAGGCAUUAAGUGACUGCCCUUGCAACAUCAACUGCCAAACCGAUUCCACCAAAGGUGGCUGCCCUUCUUCUAUAGGCCUCCUUCCACACAUGACCUCCAAAAUCAAGACCCCAAAACCGAACACGUCGGUUCGAGCUGAGGCUCUUCCGCUUCGAACCACCUCAGGUGCCAUGUAUCCUAUGGUUCCAACCACCCGCGUGGUGCUAGGCACUUGACCAUGCCCGUGCACUCGAGCCAAUCCAAAAUCACCUAACCUUCCAUUCAUAUCCAUGUCAAGUAACACGUUGCUGGCCUUGAUGUCUCUGUGUAGGACUUGAGAAUCCCAUCCCUCGUGCAAAUACAGUAAUGCAGAAGCCACAUCUUUCAAAAUUCUUAUUCUCUCUUCACAGCUCAACAUUUUACUCUCAUCACAUUCGAACACCCUCUUCUCCAAACUCCCAUUUUCCAUGUAGUCAUAUACCAACAUGAAGACUCCUCUUUCUCUCUUGCACCAACCUCUCAACCCAACCAAACUCCUAUGCUUCAACCUUCCAAGACUUGAAAUUUCAGCUAAAAACUCCCUCAUCCCAUCAUUUUCAUGUGAAAUUCGCUUCACUGCAAUCUCUGUCCCUCCUGGUAAGACACCCUUGUAGACCUUUCCAUUUCCUCCGAUUCCAAUAACAUUUUCUUCACUGAAUCCUUUUGUUGCUGCUUCGAUUUCUUGAUACCUAAUUCUAUGUGGCCAGUACUCCAAUUCCCAAUCCUCCAUUUCCUCUCUCUCCCUUGCUUUCCUUUGUCUUCUCUUAAUCAAAAACCAUAUAAUUGUAGCAGCAGAAACAACGAGAAGCACCCCUCCCACUGUGGCUCCUGCAAUGAACACUUUAGACCGAUAGAAUGGAUCUUUCGGAAGCACAAACGAUGGCAAACCAGUAGUGAUUAACCUCUCACUUAACGAAAAAUUGGAAUUGCUAAAGCUCCAUGCCAAAAUCUUGUGACUUUCAACAAGUUGUCCGGUUGAAGAAGUGAAUCCCACAUACAUCUCAUCCUCAAAAACAUCAGAUAGAUUAAGAGACAUAUUCAAUAAAGGCCUGGCAGGCCUUUUCAUGCCGGCCGGAGCCAUAGUAACAUUAACCAUAGAAUCUUUAUAGUCAAUCCAAACUUGGUAGUUUUUACCAUUAUUUAGAUCCUGUUCCUUAAAAGAAUUACUAUCCUCAUCACUGGUGUUCCCAUUGCUGCUGCUCCUUGAAUUAUCGGGCCAAUAGCCUGCAUCUGCUGCUUCAAUUGAUGUAAGUGAAUUAUUUACAUCUAUUCCAACAUGAUUAUUAUUCAUAUCACUGAAUUCUUCAUUUGCGAACACAUCAAACUCGAUGCCAAGCAUAUGAUUAUCUGAACUGUUACCGUUCGUACGAUUCAGAAAGCCUAAAUAUUGAGCUGAAGUAGACCUUUGAAUGCCUGUAAAGGGCACAAAAAGAAAAGCCAAGCCAGUCCCAGGAAGAACAUUCUUGUAAGGGACCAUAGCAAAAAUAAAAGAAGUGGAAAAUGGAUACACAAAUGAAGAGUCUGGAGCUUUGGUUGGUAUCUUUGUUGGGUACAAAGCACGGCCAAUUUCGAAAGAUGUUUGAUUUGUAAGUGUAAGAAUGCGAGAUUCAAUGAUGGCAGAGCCAUAGAGUGACACACUAGAGGAAUUGAAUCCAUUGAAGACAAAGUCAAUAGCCGAUAUGGGUUGCAAAAACAGGAUUAUAAGAAGUAGAAGCAAGGCAAGAUCAAGCUUGCUGUUGAAUUUCUUCAUUUCAAUCCAAGAAGCAAGGAGAGAAAGAGAAAGCAAGGUGUUUUUCAUGGUAGAUUAUAACGACAGACAGAUAAGGUGGUCUGAAACAGGAGGUUAAGGUUGUACAGAAAGGAUAGCAGUCUCUUUCAACUUGCCCAUGUCAAACGUUUAGCAGCAGGAUUAAUGGUUGUGAAUUUGUCCAUGAACCUACGCAAUUGGAAUUUUGGGUUUAUUACAAUAUCAAGGUCGAUUAUCUUCGAAGAAAAUACUUGGUAGGUUCAAACUUAUUUCCUUAGAUAUAAAUUUCGGAUUAGCCAGCAAGUUGAUUUAGAAUCUAAAGGCAUCUAAAUUAAAGAAAAAAAUAAAAAAUAAAUAAUUAAUAUAAUAAAAAAUUCAGGUUAAUUUACUAAUCCGGUUAAGUCAGUUAAAACUUUAUCUUAACUUAUUGAUUAUUUUAAAAUAAUAUUAUUUGUUUUUUUAAAAAAAUAUUUUAUUUAUUUUAUUUUAUUAACUCAUGUAGGCAUGUUACACGUUACAUGAUUUGAUAAUUAAAUACGUUUGGCAAUAUUCUUGUUUCUAAUUUAUCGUUUUUAAAAAAUAAAAAAAAAGUUGUUCUUAUAUUUGAACUUAAAACAAUAAUACAAAAAGUAAACUCAUAUAACUAUUGUCUAAUUAUAAAUAUUCAUUUAACAUUAAGGGUGAUAUAUAUAUAUAUAUAUAUAUAUAUAUUAAUUUAAUAACGAAAACUGGUCAUGAACUUCAUACAGAUCUCGUAUACAAAAAAAAAACUAAAUAAAAAAAAAAUUAGAGAAACUUCAUUUUGAAGAUUUUUGAGGCAAUGUUCAAACGUUUCUAGUUUCUUCUUCUUCUUCUCGUAUUAAUUACAGUCACAAUCAACCUCGUUAGGAGUUAGGUAGCAGAAAAGAAUUGGGGUCCAGAUACAAUGGCAACUUGAUAUAUUUUAAGAGAAACUAUAAAUGUGGCCCUGCUAUGCUACAGGUUAAUUUAUUUUACAUAAACAAUAUAAAAAUAUUAAGAUUUAAAAGUAUUAAGUUUUUCUCUAAAGUUAUACCUAAAAGUAUUGGGAUGUCUGCUACCCCUGACCCAAAAAUUAUAUUUAUAUUAUUAAUAAUAAUAUUAAACUUGCAUGGCUCAAGUUUAUGUGAGUUUGUUUGCAAUAUCAAACUCGAAAUCUUGGAUAUGAGUCUCGCUGCUUAUAAAAAUAUGAUAAUUAAAAAGAAAAAAAAUUAGUAUUACAGAAUAAAAUUUUUUAAAAAUAAUUAAAUAGAAAAAAAAACAAUAAAACAAAGCAUUAUUCUGAUAGAUAAUGAUUUGCAAGGAGGGGUACCUUAAAAUCCUCUCAUGAGAUAAUAAUAAUCCAAUGAAUAGUAAACAAAAUAAAUCAUACAGUUUCAUUUUUAAUCAAAUCAAUAUUAAAAGAUGAAAUUAAAAGAAAAAAAAACCUACUUAAGAAAAAAAAAAAAAAAUUGAAUCAACUGGUUUCACCCUUCCAAUCUGGGCUUUGUGUCAUGAAAUUGAAAGAAAAAAGGUUGAUGCAUUUUAGUUAUAGUUAAUUACAAUACUUAAAGAUGAAAUUAGAGAAAAAAAAACCAAUGAAGAAAAAAUAAUAUGAAUCAACUAGGUUAACCCACCAAAUCAGGUCUUGGGAUUUUUGUCAUGAGAGUGUGAUAACUAAAUAGAAAAAAAUUAAUAUUAAUGAACUAAAUUAAACAAAAAAAAUUAAUUAAAAAGAAAAAAACAAAGAAAAAAAAGCUACAGGAAGAAAAAAAUUAAUGAAGAAAAAGAAAAAAAAAUAUGAAUUAACUGGGUUAACCCGUCAAACCUGGGAUCCAUGUUAUGAAAGUUUGAUAACUAAAUAGAAAAAAAAAACUUAAUAUUAACAAACUAAAUUAAAAAAAUUAAUUAAAAAGGGAAAAAAAAAGCAAAAAGCAAAAAGAAAACAAAAAUACUAAACAAAAACAAGAUUAAUUUAAAAGAAAAAAAAGCCUACAUGAAGAAAAAAACUAAUUAAAAAAUAAAUAAAAAGUUCUGAAUUAACUGGGUUAACCCUUCAAACCAGGUUAACUAGACAAGACUAUAAUUUGUGUCAUGAAAGUUUGAUAACUAAAUAGGAAAAAAUAUUAUGGGUUAACUCAGAAUAAGCCAAUUUAACCCGUUAAACCCGGGAUCAGUGUCAUAAAAGUUUAAUAACGAAAUAGAAAAAAAUUAACAUUAACAAACUAAAUUAAAUAAAAAAAUUAAUUAAAAAAAAAUCGGGUUAACUUGGAAUCCGUGUCAUGAAAUUUUGAUAACUAAAUAGAAAAAAAAUUUAAUAUCAACAAACUAAAUUAAAUAAAAAAAUAUUCAUUAAAAAAAAGAAAAAAGCAAAAAAAAAUAUAUAUAAAAAACCUACUCAGUGUUUUCACUGUGGGUUAAUUAUAUUAUUAAAAGAUGAAAUUUAAAGAAAAAAACUAAUGAAAAAAAAGAAAAAAAAUCUGAAUCAACUCGAUUAACCCACCAAAUCAACUUAAUCCGUCAAACCUGGGAUUCGUAUCAUGAGAGUGAUAACUAAAUAGAAAAAAAAUAAUAUUAAUGAACUAAAUUAAACAAAAAAAAAGAUUAAUUAAAAAGAAAAAAAGAACAAAGAAAAAAAACCUACAUAAAGAAAAAAAACUAAUGAAGAAAAAGAAAAAAAUCUGAAUUAACUAGGUUAACCCGUCAAACCGGGAAUCCGUGUUAUGAAAGUUUAAUAACUAAAUAGAAAAAAAUUUAAUAUUAACAAACUAAAUUAAAAAAAAAUCAAUUAAAAACAAAGAAAAAAAAAGCUUACAUGAAAAAAAAAACUAAUGAAGAAAAAGAAAAAAAAACAUCUGAAUUAACUGGGUUAACCCUUCAAACCAGAUUAACCCGUCAAACAUGGGAUUCAUGUCAUGAAAGUUUGAUAACUGAUUAGGAACAAAAAAAAUUACGGGUUAACCCAAAAUUAGCUGGGUUAACUCGUCAAACCCAGAAUUCGUGCCAUAAAAGUUUCAUAACUAAAUAAAAAAACAAUUAACAUUAACAAACUAAAUUAAACAAAAAAAUUAAUUAAAAAAAACCAGAAAUAAAAAUCUGAGUUAACCUAUCAAACCCGGAAUGCAUGUUAUGAAAGUUUGAUAACUAAACAGAAAAAAAAAAAUUAACUUUAACAAAAAAAAUUAAACAAAAAAGCUAUUCAUUAAAAAAAAAAAAGAAAAAAAAAAGACAACUCAGCUUUUACUGUGGACUGCACUGUGCAGUCCACAGUAAAAGACUGAGCAGUUUUAGUUUAUUAGAUAAUUCAAGGGUAUUAAUGAGCAGAAACUCUUAGAGUUUGUUUGACAGUGUGACUGUGGUUGCUUUUCAAAUAAUUUUUCAUGCUAAAAUACAUAUCAAUGAUAUUUUUUAUUUUUUAAAAAUUAUUUUUGGCAUCAGCCCAUUAAAAUAAUUUGAAAAUAUUAAAAAUAUAUGAAUUUAAAAAAAUAAAAAAAUAAAAAAAUUUCAAAUUUUUUUAAAGAUGUUUUUAAAAAUUAAAAACAAGCAGGCCUUUAUAUAUAUAUAUAUAUAUAUUAACAACAACCGUUCUGAAGUGUGGGUGCUAAAUCUAAGAAGGUUUAAAUAUUUUUAAUAUUUUUUUAUAUAUAAAAAAAUAUAAUAUUAACUCGUUGUACAAUAUGUAUCAAUAUACCAGAGAAUGUGUGUUUUUGUGUGUAAUAAGGUAUGAUAGCAUUGUUGUAAUUAAUGAGGAUAAGAGGAAUUAUAUAUAGUACUGUGGUUUCUUAUAGAAGCCAUACGUGGCCGGCACUAGGAGAAUAUAUAGAGUUUUAUUCAUAGUUUUGAAAUCCGGACCAGCCCGGCGGGUAUGCCCGGGACUCGGGCAUGAAACUAACCCGGGUCUAAGUAAAAACCCUUCGAGAAGUUGGUCCGGCGAAACCUGGUUGUUCUAAUGGGUCGACCCGGAACUCGGUUAACCUAGGUAAACUCGGAUGAGACCCACUUUUUUUAUAUAUAUGUAUACAUAGCCGGAAACGACAUUGUUCAUUGUGGUCUUUUAAAGUAUCAAAAAUUUUGACUCAUGUCACACCUUAAAAAAAAAUAUGGCGCGGCAUCGGCUGGCGAUUUUUUCAUCGUUUGUUGCGUUUGCUUUGAAUUCGUUCUUGGGAGUCGCCACCUAGUAUUUUGGUCACUAGGAACCUUAACUGGUCUUUCAGAGAUUCUAAGGCAAGGGACUGGUUGCGUAAAGGGAAGGUAUUAGAACCCCUAGUACGCCCUACCUAAGGUAAGCUGCUUGGUGUUUGGUUUGCUCUAUAAUUGCUAUGGUGUUGGUGUUUUCUAAUCCCAUCAAUUUUCCUAGGUUUAUUCAAAUAAAAAUUAUUUGGAUAGAAAUCCAAGGAGAUUCCAUGUGCUUCGAAAGCUCAUUUUUCCCUUAGUAUUUCAAAAGUUUGCGACUCGUAAAUCGCAAGAAAGAGGGAUAAAAAAUUUAGAAAUCUAAGGAAAUUCAAAGCGCUUUUAAAAGCCUCCUUUUGCCUUAGUAUUUCAUACUUUCACGGCUCGUAAACCGUGGAGUAAAAAAUUUGAAGUUUUGAAAUGUCCUCGAUUAUAAUCAAGGCUUCUUUCAAGGAUGUGUGCGGAUUUAUUACUCCCAAUAAUAUUUUGGAUAUUCAUCCUUUAAGGAUUUCUUUAUCCAAACAUUAGCGGUGAAUAAUAGAUGAAUUCCCCCCCAAAAUAAGAUUUUUAUAGUUUUUGGAAUAUUGGCCAAUACCCUUUGGAGUUUUACAAACAUGUUGUAAAAUCCAGAAAUGCAAGAAAAUAAUUUGUGUUUAAGAAAUCUAUGCGAAAACACAUUUUCAAAACUUCCAAUAUUUUUUUUUUAUAUAAAAAGAACAUUCAAAACAUGUUAGAGUAUUGGCCGUAUGCAUGAAAACAAAACAUUUUUUUUCUUUAAUAAACAUUUUUUAAAAUGAUUUUGGAAUUUUUUUUUUUUUUUUUUAUAAUAUUAUAAUACACACACACACACACACAUAUAUAUAUAUAUAUAUAUAACUCACAUCCUGCGUGAACAGUAGGACGUGAAUUAUAUUUCACGCCUACUGUUCAUGCAGUGAACAGUAACUGGAGGGAAAGAAGAGAGAAGAGGAAGGAGAGAAAGGAAGAGGAAGGAAGGAGGAGAAAGGAAGGGGCUCACUUGGCCGAAGGGGUUGUGGCUGCUGUGAUGAGGUGGUUCAGCCGGUGGUUGCAGCGGUGGAGUUGGAGGAGGAUGGCGUCGGUUUCCUGUUGCAGAGGAAGAAAGAAGAAGAAGAAAAAUCUGCAGAAAUUGGGCGAAAAUGCUGGUUUUUGGCUGACUUGGACCCGAAUUUCUCCCCCCUCAGAUCAUCAAAUCCGACUCUAUUUAUAGGCUGUAGAAGAGGGCAAUCUUGUCUACGUUGGUAAAAAAUUUCAGCCCUUGAUUCGGUUCGGAAGCAUCUCAACCGUUGGCUCAAAGUGUGCACCUUGAGCUGCCAAAUUUGGCAGCUCAAGGCUGUGAACUGCCCGAGGUGGCCACUUUGAGCCACUCAACGGAGCCGUUUCUAACUUUUUCGACCCGACCUGAACAUUCUCCGGGAUAAAGGGGUUUCAUGUGGACAUGUUGGUGCAUGUUUGGUCGGAUUUGGAGGCCACACGAGCCCGAAAAUGCGCCUGGAAAACAGCCCCUCAGGCAGCUUUCUGAGGAAGAAAGUGAACAGUAAAUUAAGGCACAUUUCCCAAAUUGGUCCCUGGUUUCAGAUUUUCUUAAUUAAGCCCCUAAUUGAUCAAUAAACUUCCAAUUUCUUCAAUUAAGCCCCUGAUUUGACCUAAUAAAUUCCUAAAAAAUAUAUUUUGGCCCCAGAACUUAAUUUCUUUUAAUUAAAGCCCAAAUUGACUUAAAAAUCAAUUUUCCUUGCAAUCAAAUCCUCUAUAAAAUCAAUUAAAAAUCCAAUUAAGUCCAUAAACAUCCAAACUUGGGCUUUUCUCCUCAAAAUUUAAAUUUCCUUCUCAACAGGGCUCUCAUCCUUCAAGAAUAUACUGUCAAAAAUCCAAUCUUUGUAUUUUUAACCUCCUUGACCGAUUUUUCUGACCAUUUGUCGAGCGCUUCUGCCUCCUAUUAUUUUUCUAGCCUCUUUUGGCUAUUUAUUUUUUUUUUUUUUAUGGGGACCCAAAAAUAGGUUACAACAACUCAAAACGAUGCAGAUGAAGGAUGCAAAAUUGCAGACAAAGAUAACAAGAAAAAACAAUUUCAAUUGCAUAGCUCUUAUGCCCGUAAUACACCUCCACCCCAAACACAACAUCCCCUUCGUAGUGAUCCCUACUCGUUUCAAUUGAAAGAGAAUACCUAUUUGUGAUUGAUUAAAAGAGAAUAUUUAUUUGUAGUUGGAAAGUUGGAAAGCAGAUUGACGAGAAAGGGAUAAGAGAGGGGAAUUGUAUUUAUUGAAAUUUUUAUUUAAUUUUUUUUAUUGGAUUUUUUGGGUUGACCCGAGUUAACCCAGGUCAAUCCAUCUGACCCAUGAGCCGAUCAUUAGACCGGGUUGAUUACCAGGUCGGAUUUCAAAACUAUAGUUUUACUCCACCAAAUUAUUUAAAACUGCAUUACCUAAAUAACAAUAGGAAUUCUUUUUAUGAUAAUAGAAAAUAAUUUUUUUAAAAAAUCCACACUUGAAUUAUUAGGAGUUUAAAUUAUUUAAAACUAGAAGUUGGCCCAAAUUAAAUUUUUUAAGAGAAAAAGUAGAUGUUGUCAACAAGUUUUCUAGUAGUAAAAAAAAUUUAAUUAUGAAUAUAAAAUUUGACACAAUGAUUGAUAAAAUUAAUCAAGAAUUAUACAGGAUAAUAAAUAUUAAAAAGAAUUAUUAAUAUCAACUAAAAACCAAAUAAAAAAAUCUAAGAGAUAGGUGAAGAUUAAUAUAGUGAAUUUCUAUCACAUGUAACUUUUAAAAUUUAUUUAUGAAUUUAUAUGACAAUAAAUUGUUUUUAUAUAAAAACAGUAAUAAUUUAAGUUUAAUCAAAAUAAAUUGCCAUUAUAAUUCCUCAUUUUCUUAUUAAUAUUUUUUUUAUCUCUUAAAAAAACAUAUUUUGUUGUUCUGUGUCAUUCAUUAAUGAAAAUCAAAAGUAGUCAAAACUUACAUAAAAAAAUGAAACAAUUUAAAAUAAAAAUAAAAAGAUAAUUGUCUAAUUAAAACACCUUUAUCUUAUUAUUGUGCUCAAUUUUUCUAGAAAGUUUUUACAUUAAUAUUUGUUUUUAGACAAAAUCUUAUCAUAACUAUAAAAAUAAGUUUUAUUAAAAAAUUAUUAUUAUUAUAAUUUUAACGGGAUUGUAUUAAAGAUAUAACAAUACUAUAUUAUUCACGCGUUGUUGUGGGAAAUUCUUUGGUAGUGUCAUUAAACCCUGUUUGGCCUAGGGGUCAAUUUAGAUCCCUUCAACCUAACUCGGGUUUCAAAUUAAGCCAUGUGAGAGUUGAUCUAACAUGAUCGGAUCAAGUUUGUUGAUCAAAAAAUGACUCGGUCAACCCGGUCAAAAUCUAAUUUGAUUUGGUUAAAAAACUUCUAAAUGCCAUCUUUUUUUCUAAUAUUGUGACUACAACAUUUUAAAUUGAUCACGGCUAAGCCGGAUUCACUUAUCAAAUUAGUGACCCGGGUUAUAGACUCGAUUGAGUUUAACAGCUUAUUGUUUUGAAACUAUUUUUUAUUUCAUUAUAUAAUAAAAAAAAAAUGCAUGCAGGAAAGCCACCAAAAUAAAAUUAAAACAAAACAAAAACAGAAUCAUGAAGGUCUGCAAAAACAAAUUCUUGAAAAUAUUAUAAAAACAAUGUUAUAAUCUUAUUCAAAAAUAAGAUUAUAACAUUCUUAAUUAAUAAAAUAAUAUCCCAAAAUAUUUUUAAUUGGUGUGUGUAUAAAAAGUCUUAAAAGGGACUAGAGAACUAACCCUAGGUCUAAGAGUGUGUUUGGUAUUGCGGUAACUGUUGUGGUUGUGGUUUGAAAAAAGUUGUUUUAUAAAAAAUACUUUUAGUUGAGGUUGGUUUGAAAAAAUAGGUGUUUGGUUAAAACUGUGAUUGAAAUUAAGAUUGAAGAAAAAGUAGUUUAAUAUGUUUGGUUAAGAAUACUUUUAAAAUUGAGGUUAUAAAGUAAUUUAAAUAUAUAUAUAUAUAUAUAUAUAUAUAUAUAUAUUAAUAUUGAUGAUUUUUAAUUUAAAUAUUGUGGAUUUAACUAUUGCUAUUAUAUCAUAAAAUAAAUCAUACUUUAUAUAAAAUAUUUUUUGUUAUUCCAUAAAACCAUCUAUAAUUCCAUUACGUAUGAAAUACAUCUGACAAGAGCUACAGUUUCCAUAAUUUUUUUAGCGUGUAAUAAAAUUAGAUAAAAUAUUAUCAUGUAUAAAAUUCACUCUAAACUUUUUUUUUUAAUGUUAAAAAAAUUAACACACUAAAAUAAAAUUAACACACUAAAAUAAAAAAAAAAAAAAAAAAGAAGAAGAAGAAAAUGUCCACGCAGUGCAAGUGAACAAUGCAAGAGAAUUGCACUGUUCAUGUUAAUUGCAUUGUUUAUUAAACAGUGCAAUUAACAUGAAUAAUACAAAAAAAGCAAGGAAUUCUUGCUUUUCAAAUAUUGCGUUUCCAACGCAGAUAAAGUGGGACCUAGUUAACAGUAUGUCUCUUUUUUCUUUAACCAAACGGUUGCAAAUUGUAUUUUAAUUAAAAUGCAGCCGCAUAGCCAAACGAGCUCUAAAUGGGCCAACAAACCUAUCUCACUGAAAAAGAGCAAGGUGUAUACAAGGCCAAACCCGAGCAUUUGGCCUUUUUCUUUCUUUCUUUUUUCUUUUUCUUACAAUGGGCAGAAAUUCAUCAUUCAUUACUUGCAUUCCCAUCAUUUCAGUUAGUUGAAAAGUUGUUAUGAUAUCAGGUAAUUAGAUAAAAAAAAACCUUGUUUUCAAUCUAUUUUCACAAGAAAAUAUCUAAGAAACACUAGAAAAUUUUAAAUUAACCAAUAUCUAACUUUAAAACAACUUUUAAUCUCUUAGAAAUUUGAAAAUUCAUCUCGAUUAAAAAAAACGACUCAAUCUCCAAUCUAUUUUCACUAGCAAUAUGAAGGGUAAAACACAUCAAUUGAACUUUUAUUGUCAAAUAACAUUUAUUGACACCAAUAAUGGGUUGUUUUUUUCUUGUUUGGAAUAUGGUUAAUAAGCUACCUUUUCUUUUCUCCCUUUUUAUUAGACAACUCUUUUUCUUAUCUCUCAAGUUUAGAAACCGAAACAAAAACAAAAUGAAGUUAUGGGCUACAACAUAAAAAACAUGAAUAAAAAAAUUUUAGGGAACAAAAGUAAAAAAAAAAAAAAAAAAAAAGUGCCUAAAGAACACUAAAGAAAAAAUAAAAAUAAAAAGGUUGUAUUUUUGUUUAAGAGUCAAAUUCAAUUCCUAAAGUUUCAAUAUUUUUAGCAGUAAAAUUAAAUAUUUUCUUGUUAAAUAAACAUCAAUUUCAUAUUGGAAUGUAUUUUUAACAUCGCAAGAACCAUAUAACAAGCUAAUUGAAAUAAAUUAUCAGCCUCAAUCUAGGCUAAUAAAACUUAUAAGGAUGAAAUUAAAAAAAAAAUUGAUACCAAAGUAAAAAAUUCUCCUAAAACCAAAAAAAAAAAAAAAAAAGAGAAAACACUAUUGAAAUCUAUAGUUUUUUCUCUCAAAAGAAAAUCAACACCUCUUUUAAUUUUUCUUAUAAUGCAAUGCAUUUAAAGUAACAACAAGAAGUUAAACCAUGUUCUUGCCAUAAUGAUAAGGGUAUUAUUAAUCUAAUUUUUUUUUUUAUUAUUAAAAUUAAGUAAUUUCUCAAAGAACUAAGGAUGCCAAAAUAUGUAUUGAUUACACAGAUAUAAAUAAGAGAAUAGUUAUAUUUAAAGAAAUAACGACGUCUCCCUUAAAACAUUCAUUUCUCGCAAAAAUAUAUAUAUAUAUAUUUAUUAUGUGUUUUUUUAAAAAAAAUUGUAUUAUCAUUAAUUAUCCUGAUUUUUUAAAUUUAUUUUACAUUAUCUCUGAAAAUGAGAUCAUUUGACAUCAAUUCCAUAAAAAAAGAUUUAUUUUUUUUUAUAUAUAUAAAAAAACCUUUACUACCUGUGGACUUAUAGAAAAAGAUUAAAUUAAAACUCUAGUUUCUAAAUUAACCCCUAAACUUAUAGAAUUUUAUGAACAAUUCCGUCUCUAAUUAUACUUUAUGUUUUGCUCACCACGCAAAUAAUGAUUGUUAACUGCAUACCUUUAUAGGUGCCCCUUCAGCAACGAAGCUACUGUAACUACAGAGAUGAAGCAGCUUUUGGAAAGCAUCUAUUUUGGUUCGAAUACCACUGGAAGCUUUCCACUCGGACUACCUUUCACCAUAGGGGACAACAGGAGAGCUUCAAGCCCUCUCCUUAGCCGGCGCAGCGUUGAUAUUGUAUAACCUUAGGCGGCAGUUGAGUCACUCUCGUCCCUGGGUGGGGUUUAGUUCUUCCCCCCUAUUUGGAAAAGAAAAAAUGGCUAAGUCCAUUUCUUGGAUUCUCCCUUACGUGACAAAUCAUUAAAAAAGCACCAUUCUGACUUCCGACAACUAUAAAAACAAUCGAACAGAUGCGGGAAUAUAAUAAGCCAAUAGCACUAGGGUUAGUUACACUUUCUCUUAACAGACGGGACAAGGAUUUUUUUUUUUUCAAGUAAAAAUAACAAUUUUCAAACUUUAUUUUUAUUGGUAUUACUCGUUUAAGGUCUAAUUUCAAUUCCAACUAUAUAUUUUUUAUUUGUUUUUGUUAUUUUCAUGGUUUUUUAACACACCAAAAUUAAAUAAAAUUUACUAAAUUUACUAAGAAAGCAUUUUUUUUUCUAAGUUUAAAAAAAUAUAUAAAAAAGGCAGUAAGAAAACAAAGGGUUAUAUCAUCCUCCAUCAAAGAUUCUACCUUGUAGCUCUCUUUCUUAAAGUAAAUUGUUCUUGUCAUAGUUUUUCAAUAAUUGUUGCUUGGAAGCGAUAUUAUUCUUAUAAUUCAUAGGGAGAGGUGGAUGGCAUAACAUUGAUGAAAAAUGUGUUCAAAUCAUAUUCCAAAGAAUUAUCAAUAAAUUCAAUAAAUUGGAGGGUGUGGAAACUAUAAUGUUUUAGCAUGCCUUGUUAAUAAGCAUGUUACACAACCAUAUAGUAAUUAGAUUUCAAUUUAUGUCACUUAAGGCAUCUCUCUAAUGGCAGAAAUCAUUAAAAAAAAACUAAAUUGUUGAUAUAACGUUUUUAAUAGUAUAAAUAUAGUUUUUUCUAUGUACUCCAAUGAAAAAAAUCAUUUUAACAAUCCAUUUUUAUUUUAAUAUAUUUAAUAUUAAUACUUUUAGCUUCUUUUUUUUUUAAAGUAAUGAGAAAUUAAGUUGUGGAGAUAAAAGAAGUAAUAUUUAAAUAAUCUAUUUUAAUAUUUUUGGCUCUCUUGAUUAGAUAUGUAGGAAUUAUUUUUCUUUAAUAGAAAAAUUAUUUUAGCUCUUCAUUUGUCUAUCCAUUUAAAGCUGUAAAAUAAAAUAAAAAUAGCUACGAAAAUUACUUUUUUUAAGUUCCUUUUUUUACUCCUCUUGUACACCAAAUCCGAGUUUCAUAGAGACUAGACAUAGGAGUAUGGCAUACGCUAAACUGGCCUAAGCUAACCUUUUUUUAUUGACAUAUGCUACAUUGUUUUUCUUUUUUUCAUUCUAAACAGAGCAUUUGCCAAUAAAAAUAAAAUAAAAUAAAAAACUUAAGGUCCGGCAAUGAUGUUUUUUUAUUGGCCCAUCAUUAAUUUUGUUAUCCAUACACAGUAUAGACCGGCCCAUCACUAAACUGGGAAUAAUGAGUUUAUAUGGGCUUUAGAGCAUUGUGUAACACUUAACAGUGUGCACUUCAGGCCCAUUUAAGAAGAGAAAAAAGGGACAGGGAUAAAGUCUGAAGGGUCAGAAAAAAACUGACAAAUUGAUUAAAUUGAAAACAUUUAAUCAUAAAAAAAGAAUUUAAUUAAUAGAUUAGAAUAUUUUAAAAAAAAUUAGUUAAGUUUGGUUUCUAUUUCAUAAAACUGAAAUAAAAAAACCGAACCGAAUAAAAAAAACCCAUUAAAAAAUCCGAAAAAUAACCCAAAAAACAACAUAAUUUUUAAUUUUUAAUAUAAAAUAAUCAUAAUAAAUCAAACCAGUCGAUUAAGUUUCAGUUUUUUAUAUAAAAUAAUUGUACCAAACCAAAACCGAUCAAUUGAAUUUUAGUUUUUAAUAUAAACAGCCUAGAAAUGAUGUUUAAAUUGGACUUUAGAGCAUUAGAUAACAGAGCUUGUUUGUUUUGCAUUUCAAAAGUACUUUUAAAAAAAAUUAAAAUUUUUUAAUUUUUUUAUUAACUUCAAAUUAAUAUAUUUUUACUGUUUUCAAAUCAUUUUAAUAUUCUAAUAUUAAAAAUAAUUUUUAAAAAAUAAAAAAAUUAUUAAUAUAAAAAAUUAUUUAAAAAACAACGAUAACCAUAAUAAAAAACAAGCUUUUAAGAAUAUGCUCUUCAGGCACAUUUAAGAAGAGACAUAGGGACAAGGACAAAAUAGUCUGAAGCCUAAAAACAUUGUGGGAUUUGACAGACCCAACAAGGCAACAAGGCCCUGUUGACGUCGAGAAAAAGGGUUGCACCAGCCGGGAAUCGAACCCGGGUCUGUACCGUGGCAGGGUACUAUUCUACCACUAGACCACUGGUGCUUGUCGGUGUCAACUUGUGGAAUCAUUAUUUAGUUAUAAAUAAUGACACGCCCAUCUCCUAGUCAAACACAGAAGCAAAAUAGCAGACUGUGUCUUUGACAGAAAUCUUGUACCAUUACGACAAAGUUUAACUUUCUAUCUCGCUAAAAAGCAAUAUUCCUACCUGCCCACCACCUACUCACCUAAUAAUAGUCAUUCCUUGCCUAGUGAAAUGUGACAAAAAAACAUGGGUAAUGAUCAUACUAGUGCUUUGUUCUCUUCUAUAUAUUUAUUUAUUUAUAUAUAUAUAUGGUGAAUUGACUAGAGCGUGCACAUAAUACUUCUUCUAGUCAUGAUGAUCAGUGAGGUUUUUGGUUUUAAAAUCAACAACUCCAUUGAAAUUCUUAAACUUGAAGAAUGUGCAAAGACAAAGGUGACAUGUUAGCAAAGAGGAAGAGAAAUUUAAGGGAAAAAAUAUCAGUGGAUUUGCUGUAUUUAUGUACACGCCAAUAUGCUAGUAUUUAUGUACAGAAACAAGAAAGGAUUCUCCUCUACAUUAUUGUCCCAGUCUAUCAAACAUUCAUAAAGAAAAAACGCAAAUCAAAAUUAAGGCUCCCUCCCCAUUGUUUCAUUUUUUAUGCUCUUGGAUCUUGAUCCUGCCAACUUCUGCAGCUUCUUCCAAGCUUGCCACGGAAAAUCUGGCAAAUUUUAGUUCAUUAACUUUGCAAAAAAAAAACCAACAGAUACUGUAAUUCAUCAACUGAAUUCAGAUUCACCUACCCUCCACUACAGUAUUGCUCCAAGAUAAAGACAUAGACGAUGAGUUGUAUCGUCUAAUUUCAUCAAAAGUUGGGUGCGAUCCAUGGCUAGAACUUUGAGAAUAACUCGACCAAAAAUCCUUAGACUUCAUCUGUUGUAGCAAACAUGCAUCCAUAUCCUCACUUUCAAUCUCACUAAGCUCAUUGUUACCCUCCAUGACCUUCACUACUUGCCUCAUUGUCGGCCGCACUUUAGAGUCAGGAUAUGACACAAUAAGCCUAAUGAAGCAUUCUUUCUACUUCUCCUUCGUCAAAUUGUUCUCCUCUAGCCUUUAGUCGCUCAUCCAAGGCAUUAAGUGACUGCCCUUGCAACAUCAACUGCCAAACCGAUUCCACCAAAGGUGGCUGCCCUUCUUCUAUAGGCCUCCUUCCACACAUGACCUCCAAAAUCAAGACCCCAAAACCGAACACGUCGGUUCGAGCUGAGGCUCUUCCGCUUCGAACCACCUCAGGUGCCAUGUAUCCUAUGGUUCCAACCACCCGCGUGGUGCUAGGCACUUGACCAUGCCCGUGCACUCGAGCCAAUCCAAAAUCACCUAACCUUCCAUUCAUAUCCAUGUCAAGUAACACGUUGCUGGCCUUAAUGUCUCUGUGGAGGACUUGAGAAUCCCAUCCCUCGUGCAAAUACAGUAACGCAUAAGCCACAUCUUUCAAAAUUCUUAUUCUCUCUUCACAGCUCAACAUUUUACUCUCAUCACAAUCGAACACCCUCUUCUCCAAACUCCCAUUUUCCAUGUAGUCAUAUACCAACAUGAAGACUCCUCUUUCUCUCUUGCAC
rnacentral:lncRNA from 1 species